UACGAAGGGGGCUAGCGUUGUUCGGAAUCACUGGGCGUAAAGCGUAUGUAGGCGGAUUGUUAAGUCAGGGGUGAAAUCCCGAGGCUCAACCUCGGAACUGCCUUUGAUACUGGCUUUCUUGAGUUCGGGAGAGGUGAGUGGAACUCCUAGUGUAGAGGUGAAAUUCGUAGAUAUUAGGAAGAACACCAGUGGCGAAGGCGGCUCACUGGCCCGAUACUGACGCUGAUGUACGAAAGCGUGGGGAGCAAAC
rnacentral:rRNA from 1 species